rnacentral:rRNA from 1 species
CCUACGGGAGGCAGCAGUGAGGAAUAUUGGUCAAUGGACGAGAGUCUGAACCAGCCAAGUAGCGUGAAGGAUGACUGCCCUAUGGGUUGUAAACUUCUUUUAUAUGGGAAUAAAACGUUCCACGUGUGGGAUUUUGUAUGUACCAUAUGAAUAAGGAUCGGCUAACUCCGUGCCAGCAGCCGCGGUAAUACGGAGGAUCCGAGCGUUAUCCGGAUUUAUUGGGUUUAAAGGGAGCGUAGGUGGAUUGUUAAGUCCGUUGUGAAAGUUUGCGGCUCAACAGUAAAAUUGCAGUUGAAACUGGCAGUCUUGAGUACAGUAGAGGUGGGCGGAAUUCGUGGUGUAGCGGUGAAAUGCUUAGAUAUCACGAAGAACUCCGAUUGCGAAGGCAGUUCACUGGACUGCAACUGACACUGAGGCUCGAAAGUGUGGGUAUCAAACAGGAUUAGAUACCCCAGUAGUC